rnacentral:rRNA from 1 species
UACGGAGGGGGUUAGCGUUGUUCGGAAUUACUGGGCGUAAAGCGCGCGUAGGCGGAUUAGUCAGUUAGAGGUGAAAUCCCAGGGCUCAACCCUGGAACUGCCUUUAAUACUGCUAGCUUAUGUGUCGAGAGAGGUGAGUGGAAUUCCGAGUGUAGAGGUGAAAUUCGUAGAUAUUCGGAGGAACACCAGUGGCGAAGGCGGCUCACUGGCUCGAUACUGACGCUGAGGUGCGAAAGUGUGGGGAGCAAACAGGAUUAGAUACCCGGAGUCC